AAAGUCCCCCAGUGUCCCCAUGUCUCUCAGUGUCCCCAUGUCUCCCAGUGUCUCCAUGUCACUAGGGACACUGUGAGACAUGGGGACACUGGGAGACCU
rnacentral:miRNA from 1 species